rnacentral:rRNA from 1 species
GUGGGGAAUAUUGGGCAAUGGGCGGAAGCCUGACCCAGCGACGCCGCGUGGGGGAAGAAGUCUUUCGGGAUGUAAACCCUUGUUGUACGGGACGAAGGAAGUGACGGUACCGUACGAGGAAGCCCCGGCAAACUACGUGCCAGCAGCCGCGGUAAUACGUAGGGGGCGAGCGUUGUCCGGAAUCACUGGGCGUAAAGCGCACGUAGGCGGGCUGUCAAGUCGGCCGUGAAAGGCACGGGCUCAACCUGUGCAUGUCGGUCGAUACUGGCGGUCUGGAGUAUGGGAGAGGGAACUGGAAUUACCGGUGUAGCGGUGAAAUGCGUAGAUAUCGGGAGGAACACCAGUGGCGAAGGCGGGUUCCUGGCCCAUGACUGACGCUGAGGUGCGAGAGCCGGGGGAGCGAACGGGAUUAGAAACCCGGGUAGUCC